rnacentral:rRNA from 1 species
AAUACGACUCUCGGCAACGGAUAUCUCGGCUCUCGCAUCGAUGAAGAACGUAGCGAAAUGCGAUACGUGGUGUGAAUUGCAGAAUCCCGUGAACCAUCGAGUCUUUGAACGCAAGUUGCGCCCGAGGGACCCUCCCNAGGGCACGCCUGCCUCAUGGGCGUUAGAA